CAGGUAAGUGGGGCCCCGGAUGGGCCCCCAGCCCGCUCCCGCCUGGGACGCUGCGCGGAGUGCAUUUUCAGGAAGCAAAGCGUCCUUCACUUUAAGGGCCGAACUUUAUUUCGAACCCGACGCGUCUUUGUUGGCGUUUGUUUGGAAAGCGGUGGUGUAAUGGAUGAUCCUUGUGUUUCCAAGUGUCUUUAGGUCGCAUUGGGCACCCUUCGCGCCUGCGUCCCUGCAACAGGCGAGGGGCCACCCUGUCGGAGGCACCUGGGAGGCGAGGACCUGGAAACGCAGGAGGCUCUCAGGCUUUACAGGGAAGAAUGAGCCGGCGCGGGUGUUACGGCCAGAAUCGUGUCCCCCAAAGUUCCCGUCUUGGAGCCCUAGCCCCCAGGACCUCCAUAAUCAGAGGCUCAUCGUGUGGUGUCCUGGUUGCACGUAGUGUAAAGUGUGCCAUUUAAGCAAGUGCAAUAAACUGAUUUUAGCAAGUAA